rnacentral:rRNA from 1 species
ACUCCUACGGGAGGCAGCAGUGGGGAAUAUUGCACAAUGGGCGCAAGCCUGAUGCAGCAACGCCGUGUGAGUGAAGAAGGUUUUCGGAUCGUAAAACUCUGUCCUAAGGGAAGAAACAAAUGACGGUACCUUAGGAGGAAGCCCCGGCUAACUACGUGCCAGCAGCCGCGGUAAUACGUAGGGGGCAAGCGUUAUCCGGAAUCACUGGGGCGUAAAGGGUGCGUAGGCGGCUUAGCAAGCCAGGGGUGAAAGGCAUUGGCUCAACCAAUGUAAGCCUUUGGAACUGUUAAGCUUGAGUGCAGGAGAGGUAAGUGGAAUUCCUAGUGUAGAGGUGAAAUUCGUAGAUAUUAGGAGGAACACCAGUGGCGAAGGCGACUUACUGGACUGUAACUGACGCUGAUGCACGAAAGCGUGGGUAGCGAACAGGAUUAGACUACCGUGGUA